GUCAUGCUCGAAGUAGGGCUGUGUGUUGGCAAGCAUUUGGCAAUACGAUACAUAUCAUGAUACAGGGGUUACGAAUCAA